UGCAAGGGCACUGCCCAAAAAGAAAGGUCUCCCAUUCUUGGGGGGACGUAGAUAAACUGUUAAUACGGUUGUUAGCCACACUCUUGUGAGUGGCGUUUCCUUCACUCCCAAAUAAGCACGUGCGCGCUUCGCUCGCUUGCUGAAUCUUGGCUUGGCCGCCAUUCAAAAUGGAGCUGUCGUUGAACGCUGCCGCCCCAAAUGCGAAGUUGGCGCUGUUAUUCGAUUUUUGAACGCAAAAUGCGGUAAACCGGUUGAA
rnacentral:lncRNA from 1 species